AUUGAACGCUGGCGGCAGGCCUAACACAUGCAAGUCGAGCGGAUGAAGGGAGCUUGCUCCUGGAUUCAGCGGCGGACGGGUGAGUAAUGCCUAGGAAUCUGCCUGGUAGUGGGGGAUAACGUCCGGAAACGGGCGCUAAUACCGCAUACGUCCUGAGGGAGAAAGUGGGGGAUCUUCGGACCUCACGCUAUCAGAUGAGCCUAGGUCGGAUUAGCUAGUUGGUGGGGUAAAGGCCUACCAAGGCGACGAUCCGUAACUGGUCUGAGAGGAUGAUCAGUCACCACGGAAAUGGGAAAACGGCCAGGAUCCUAAGGGAAGGAAGAGUGGGGAAUUUUUGGCAAUGGGCGGAAGGCCUAUUCCAGCCAGGCGGGGGGGGGGAAGAAGGUCUCGGGUUGGAAAAGACCUUUAGGUGGGAGGAAAGGGCAGUAAGUUAAAACCUGGCUGUUUUGAGGUACCCAACAGAAAAGACACGGGUUAAUUCCGG
rnacentral:rRNA from 1 species